AACGAACGCUGGCGGCAUGCCUAACACAUGCAAGUCGAACGAGACCUUCGGGUCUAGUGGCGCACGGGUGCGUAACGCGUGGGAACCUGCCCUUAGGUUCGGAAUAACUCCCCGAAAGGGGUGCUAAUACCGGAUAAUGUCUUCGGACCAAAGAUUUAUCGCCUUUGGAUGGGCCCGCGUUGGAUUAGCUAGUUGGUAGGGUAAAAGCCUACCAAGGCGACGAUCCAUAGCUAGUCUGAGAGGAUGAUCAGCCACACUGGGACUGAGACACGGCCCAGACUCCUACGGGAGGCAGCAGUGGGGAAUAUUGGACAAUGGGCGAAAGCCUGAUCCAGCAAUGCCGCGUGAGUGAUGAAGGCCUUAGGGUUGUAAAGCUCUUUUACCCGGGAUGAUAAUGACAGUACCGGGAGAAUAAGCUCCGGCUAACUACGUG
rnacentral:rRNA from 1 species